GUCGGGAUAGCUCAGGUGGUAG
rnacentral:tRNA from 1 species